rnacentral:rRNA from 1 species
GACGAACGCUGGCGGCGUGCUUAACACAUGCAAGUCGAACGGAAAGGCCCUGCUUGCAGGGUACUCGAGUGGCGAACGGGUGAGUAACACGUGGGUGAUCUGCCCUGCACUUCGGGAUAAGCCUGGGAAACUGGGUCUAAUACCGGAUAGGAGCCAUUUUUAGUUUGAUGGUUGGAAAGUUUUUUCGGUGUAGGAUGAGCUCGCGGCCUAUCAGCUUGUUGGUGGGGUAAUGGCCUACCAAGGCGGCGACGGGUAGCCGGCCUGAGAGGGUGGACGGCCACAUUGGGAAUGAGAUACGGCCCAGACUCCUACGGGAGGCAGCAGUGGGGAAUAUUGCACAAUGGGCGCAAGCCUGAUGCAGCGACGCCGCGUGGGGGAUGACGGCCUUCGGGUUGUAAACUCCUUUCGCUAGGGACGAAGCUUUUUGUGACGGUACCUAGAGAAGAAGCACCGGCUAACUACGUG